GAUGAACGCUGGCGGCGUGCCUAAUACAUGCAAGUCGAGCGAACGGACGAGAAGCUUGCUUCUCUGAUGUUAGCGGCUGACGGGUGAGUAACACGUGGAUAACCUACCUAUAAGACUGGGAUAACUUCGGGAAACCGGAGCUAAUACCGGAUAAUAUUUUGAACCGCAUGGUUCAAAAGUUAAAGACGGUCUUGCUGUCACUUAUAGAUGGAUCCGCGCUGCAUUAGCUAGUUGGUAAGGUAACGGCUUACCAAGGCAACGAUGCAUAGCCGACCUGAGAGGGUGAUCGGCCACACUGGAACUGAGACACGGUCCAGACUCCUACGGGAGGCAGCAGUAGGGAAUCUUGCGCAAUGGGCGAAAGCCUGACGGAGCAACGCCGCGUGAGUGAUGAAGGUCUUCGGAUCGUAAAACUCUGUUAUUAGGGAAGAAAAUAUGUGUAAGUAACUGUGCACAUCUUGACGGUACCUAAUCAGAAAGCCACGGCUAACUACGUG
rnacentral:rRNA from 1 species